GUUCAAAGGGCAGUGUUGUCAUUGCGCAUCCUCAAAUAAAAAAAAAGACCCUACUUCCUCCCUCGGCGCUCCCGUCUGCUCCGCCGCCGGCAGCUUCAGGGAGACGUCCUGCCGUCGCCUGGCCCCCUCGGCGCUCACGUCUGCCCCCGCCGCCGCUACCUCCGCCUUGUGGCUCGCUGCCGGCCGCCUCGGGGAGAGAGAUACAAACCGCUGCUUCAGCGCUGCUCCUCGCGAACUCCUCCUCCACGUCGUGUUCUUCGCGCGCCCCGUAAGAAGGAUGCUAAGACUUCCUCACCAGUCUCCAGAAGCCGAGUACUAGGAGGUCAAGAAGUGAGGCAGCGGAGGAUGAAACAGUAGUGUCCCAUUUAGAAGUAGAGUAGCUAGUCUUUUUUAGAACACAAGAUAAUAGGAUGAUGUAACCUGUGCAAGGUUGUCUCUGACCUACCCAACCAAGCUAGUUGAAGGUUUGAAGCAUCUGGCAAAGUUUGAGAAAUAAGAUUCCUUUUAUUAUUUCUACCCUUUUCUGAGUUUGAGACUAAGUUUUCUGCUGUGUCUUACCUGUGCGACUGCCGUACUGGCACAGACUAUGUGAAUUCAUACAUGCUUUCUCCUGUGCCAGGUGAAGGCACAUGGUAGAGUAUUUCAGUUGUGACAUUAUUUCUGAAUCAGCAGAUGCUGUUUAAGUGCUUUA